rnacentral:tRNA from 1 species
GAGGAUGUGGCUCAGAGGUACAGCGCUUGCCUAGCACGUGCGAGGCUCUGGGUUCAAUCCUCAGCACCACA